GAUUUGGGGUUCUUAGUUUUGUGGUCCGAAAGCUUUAUUUAUUUAUUUAUUUAUUUAUUUAUUUAUUUCACUUAUUGCAAAGUAUUUCUAUCUCUCCUUCCAUCCAAAGGUGUCCGUGUGGGUCACAUAUGCUUUCAGAUAAAUGAGACAUAGUUUAAACAGUACCCUAGUGCCAGCCUCGCACAGAAUGCUGGGAGUUGUAAUUCAGAAACAUCUGGAGGUGCAUCCUGCCUUUAUGGUGGCUGGAAUAUCACCUCCUCCUAUGGGGCAAAAAACCCAAAAACAGUACCUUCCGCAUUAGAGUGGCACAUCUUCACAGAAUGGACAUAUUUUCAAAUAGUAAGGACUUCUCAAAUAUUUAAUAUAAAAGCAUUUAAAUUUCAUAAAAAUUAGUUUCAAAGGAAUUCCCAUACUGAACAGAGAAAAGGCUAAGAUGUAACACCUAAGGGUAACAUUUCCNGAUGUGUCUGCACUGUACCUGUUGAUAAAUAAUUUCAGCUCAGCUGUGCUUCCAUUAAGAACGUUUGAAGUUUUUGAAUUUGUUUCUACCACUCUGGAAUAGUAGUAAACAGCAAACGUUCAGAAAAAGACUCUUGGCGUGUGUGCCCUCCGUGCUGACCCAUAAUGUAUCUUCUGCUGUUGCCAAAUCUAUUAACUGUUGAAUUUGAAAAGCGUGAUAAUACUUGCUGAUGUCUGACAGACUUCAGUCUCUCCUCUGGGUUUUCCUCUGUAGCUGAGGGAAGGGGAGUCUUGGCAUUUUACUUUGAAAACCAAAGUUGCUUAAAACUUUUCUCCAGGACUCUCGAGUCUGCACUGGAAUAUACCAAGGGGAAACAUGGCUCAGAAAACAACGCGCUCCGCUAUGAACACCGAGCUCUCAAUAGGAUAUUUGGCUUUUUAAGUUCAUUGCUGGAUUGUACUUUUCCCUGGAGAACUGGUGUGCAGGCAUUGUUCUUGUUUCCAGUGCCUCUGUAUGGGCCUGAUCAGGCUUGGCUUCCAUACUGGCAGUAUUUAUUAUGAAUGCAAACCUCUGGAGGAUGCAGAGCAUAGAGGUGAGCCAAAAAUUCUGUAAUAUUCUUCUUUUGCUCCCCCCUAACUCAGCUAAACUUUUGACCUUAACCUAAGAGGGUGGAGAAAAGUAAGGCUAGCAGAAAGUUUCCACAUCUGCCACAACCCUUAGGUAUAGUUCCUCUUUCUAAACCAUAAUUACAUAACACAGGAUUACAGAACACUGUGUGGACUUUCCCUUUCCAUAUACAAGCCUGACUCGUUCUGGUGAAGUUCUGAAUAGUUGUCCCCAAACUAGCAAGUUUUUCCCCCUUAAAGUCAUGCUAUAUAGACCCCCACACAUUCUGGAAAAGAAAGCAGAUGAUGGGGCACUGUGUGAGAUGGGAUGCUGGACUAGAUGGGCUGUGGCCUGAUCCAGCAGGUGGUAUCAAUGGAUCAAUGGCUACCAGAAUCUCUGAAUCUCUAAUUCAGUGCCAACNCAUCUGAAAUUUGGCCCUAAUGAAUAUAGCGGCUUCUGUGCACAUUAGCCAACGCUGAGCUGAAAGUUCCAUGAAAAGUAGAACCGACUCACCUUCUGAGCUGCUGUGUGUUGGGGGCAAUGCUUACUUUACCCUUUUGGAUCUGUGACACCACUAGCCCCAGAGCUUAGCAAAUAUAUGUCUCCAUCUCUUCUAGCCACUGUGAUGUGUCUCAGGACAUGGAUGAAUCUGUUUGAAGGACCAAAAUGAAGCACCUCCAUUUUGUUUUCAGUGUGCAGUAUUCACUGCUUUGCCCCGUCUUCCUCACAACGGGUCUUGUCAGGUCCUGGAACUUGCAGUGACACUUUUUUUGAGGGUAUUGUUGACAUUUCUCAUCCUUUUUAACACAGCUGUUUUUG
ensembl:lncRNA